CUGGGCCCUGCUGACCCGGGCAAGGCCCCACUGUGAUGCGUGCCAUGACCUCACAAUGUCACUGGUGCUUAGCACCAAUCCGCUCUCCGGCCUGCCUCUGUGUUCUACGGCAGUUACACGUGCACAGUGGUAUCAGCUACACACGCACAGUGGUAUCUGGGAACAGUUUUGUGGACUCAAAGGUUUUCUACCUGAGAGGCAUAACGCAGGUCAGCCGAUUCAUCAGAAUCAGGAUGGUAAUCAUAGAGGAUGCAGAUAGUUUGCGGGCACAGGAGCGAGAGAAUAUCAUCAUCAACUAUGAGAAGGGACACCGAGCUGGGCUGCCAGAGGACAUGGGGCCUGAGCCUGUUGGAAUCUACAACAACAUUGAUCGCUUUGGGAUUGUGCAUGAGACAGAGCUGCCUCCUGCCACUGCUCGGGAGGCUAAGCAAAUGUGGCGGGAGAUAACACGAAAGAGCAAGUGGAUGGAAAUGCUGCGACAAUGGGAGACAUAUAAGAACAGUAGAAAGCUGAUAGAUCGAGUAUAUAAGGGCAUUCCCAUGAACUUCAGGGGCCAAGUGUGGUCAGUCCUGCUGAACAUACAGGAAGUAAGUGAAAAACCCCAGAACAUACAAGGUCAUGAAGGAGAAGGGCAAGAGGUCAUCUGAACACAUCCACCAGAUCGACCUGGACGUGAGCGAGACACUAAGGACUCACAUCUUCUUCAGGGAUCGAUACGGAACCAAGCAGCGGGAACUAUUCUACAUCCUCCUGGCAUAUUCGGAGUAUAACCCGGAGGCGGGCUACUGCAGGGACCUGAGCCACAUCGCGGCCUUGUUUCUCCUUUAUCUGCCUGAGGAGGAUGCAUUCUGGGCACUGGUGCAGCUGCUGGCCAGUGAGAGGCAAUCCCUGCAAGGAUUCCACAGCCCAAAUGGCGGGACAGUCCAGCGGCUCCAAGACCAUCAGGAGCAUGUGGUCCCCACGUCACAACCCAAGACCAUGUGGCGUCUGGACAAGGAAGGUCUUUUCACGCAGAGUUCCUCAUUAGGCUGGCUUCUCCAGAUGUUGAAUGACGGGAUCUCUCUUGGGCUCAUCCUGCGCCUGUGGGACGUGUAUUUGCUGGAAGGAGAACAGGUGUUGAUGCCGAUGACAAGCAUUGCCUUUAAAGUUCGGAGGAAGCGCCUCACGAAGACGUCCAGGUGUGGCCUGUGGGCACGGUUUCGGAACCAGUUCUUCCAUACCUGGGAGUUGGAUGAUGACUCUGUGCUCAAGCAUCUUAGGGCCUCUAUGAAGAAACUAACAAGGAAGCAAGGGGACCUGCCACCCCCAGCCAAACCCGAGCAAGGGUCCUCAACACCCAGGCCUGUGCUGGCUUCACAUGGCAGGAUGAUCCUCUGCAAGGGGGACAGACAGGCCCCUCCAGGCCCACCAGCCCGGUUCCAGCGGCCCAUUUGGCUAGUUUCCCCACCAUGGGCACCUCGUUCUUCCACAUCCUGUCCUGGUGGGGCUGUCCGGGAAGACACCUACCCUGUGGGCACUUGGGGUGUGCCCAGCCCGGCCCCGGCUCAGGGAAGACCUCAGGGUUCCUGGAGAUUCCUGGAGUGGAACUCGAUGCCCCGGCUCCCGACGGACCUGGAUGUAGGGGGCCCUUGGUUCCCCCAUUAUGAUUUCGAACAGAGCUGUUGGGUGCGUAAUGGCACCGUAUCCCAGGAAGACCAGCUGGCCACCUGCUGGCAGGCGGAACACCCUGCGGAGGGGGUGAGAUUGAUUUUCACUGCACUGAGCCACAGUGUGGACAUGGACUUCCAGCCCUGCACUGCACCCAGCACUGAUUCCAACCAGGACACCCCCGUCGCAGCUAGGGACGAGCAGCAGUGCGCUCCCACCUCAGGGCCUUGCCUCUGCCGCCUCUACUUGGAAAAUUCUCAGUUCCCUCCAGGCUUCUAGAAGCAUCUAGGGCAGGGCUCAUGGCUGGAUAACUUCCUGAGGCUUAACAACCCAAGCAAACUUCACGUCCUCAUUUUAUUUUUUGUUAAACUUAUGAAAAUUGAUUAAGAAAGUGUGCAGCUCGAAAGACCUUCACAGAUGGAACACACCAGCCCCCAGAUCACAAAGCCAACCAUGCCCAGCCCCUCCCAGCACCCCCAGCCGUGUGACCAGCUUUCUGAAUUCCCACAACACCGUGUGCCUGCCUUUGUGUUUUCAACUCAUAGAUGAUUAACCCCCUUCAUGUUUUAAAAUAAAUGUUUUCUGUUGAAAUUA